CAGCAUAGCCAUUAGUCAUCUUAAAAACCUGGAUGUGUGCUAGGGCUGCUUGAUUAUGGAAAAAAAUAUAAUCACUAUUAUUUCAGUCAAUACUGAAAUCACAAUAAUUUAACACAAUUACUUGUUGACUUCUGGAAAGAUGUUGGAAUUAUUGAACUUAAA